CCUACGGGUGGCAGCAGUGGGGAAUAUUGCACAAUGGGGGAAACCCUGAUGCAGCGACGCCGCGUGAGUGAAGAAGUAAUUCGUUAUGUAAAGCUCUAUCAGCAGGGAAGAAAAUGACGGUACCUGAGUAAGAAGCCCCGGCUAACUACGUGCAAGCAGCCGCGGCAAUACGUAGGGGGCAAGCGUUAUCCGGAUUUACUGGGUGUAAAGGGAGCGUAGACGGCAGUGCAAGUCUGGAGUGAAAGGCGGGGGGUCAACCCCCGGACUGCUCUGGAAACUGUACGGCUGGAGUGAAGGAGAGGUAAGUGGAAUUCCUGGUGUAGCGGUGAAAUGCGUAGAUAUUAGGAGGAACACCAGUGGCGAAGGCGGCUUACUGGACUGUAACUGACGUUGAGGCUCGAAAGCGUGGGGAGCAAACAGGAUUAGAUACCCUUGUAGUC
rnacentral:rRNA from 1 species